UAAAAGGCUAUAAUUCCAACUGAGCAAACUCUCUGCUAAAAGGGCUGAGAAAGCUGCAUGGAGAACUGAACCUCUAGGGAGAGAGGACUGGAGAAUGGACUUCUGCAACAGGUGCCUGCAAACAGGCCAAAGUCAGAAGCUGCCCAGGGAAUCAGUGAGGGAGUGUAAGAAAUGGACCCUAGCUAUCUGGUUCAAGGGCCUUGGGCUGGAUCCUAGAGGGAAACAUGGGUCUGGGUUUCCUAUUGCCCCUUCCCUUGCGGGGUGUGUGUGUGUGCGCGUGCAAAUCUUGAGAGUAAAGAAGCAAGGACUAUUGUGGCUGGACUGAGAGCAAAGACCUGGUGUAGGGGCAGUGAACUUUAGGCUUUUUGUUUUCCUUUCCUGUUUACCUGGAAGGGGUGUGACUGCAAGCAACCUGCCUUGGGGGCUGAGGGCCAAGAAAUAAAAGAUGGCUGAGUGGCCUGAGCUGUGCCUGACAGACAGAGGGGCUGCUAUGCUGUGCCCAGCUAUGAGAUGGUCACUGCCCCCCCAGUGAGUGAAUCUCUGACAACUUACCUAGCUGCGGGGGGAGAGUUUGAACCCCCUGCUAGCUCUAGCUAUACCCUCGAGCCGAGUAUUUACACUAAGAAUAGGCUACGAUCUUUACUGCAGCCAGGAGGGGGUUAACUGAUGCAUCAUAGACCCAGCCCUAUUUUGGAUUCUCUCUGAGAGUGUGGGUUCUGAAACCAUUUCAGGAAUGGACAAUAAUCUGCCUUUCAAAUUCCACUCUGGGGGUAAGCUGCUACAGGGGCAUGUGACAUAUGGGUGACGUCUAGUUGUGUGCUGGCACGUUGGUCUAAAUCUUGAAGUCCUUACUCAGCUCACAGGCUAAACUCUCUGCAUAGACUUUCAGAUUUCACCCACUGUUAACUUGUGUUCCCCUAGAGCUGGAUGCUGACAGAACCCAAGUCUGGUUGAAUUAAGAGUCUUAAACUGGCUUAAUGUUACUGUUGGAGGGCGAGAUGAGACUGGAGUCCCCAAGAGCCCCAACUGUGCUUGGGGAGCUGUGCUUGGGUCCCUCCCAACCUUUCACAGAGUGUGACUGAAAGGCAGGCUAGCCAGGGAAUAAAAGGAAGCGUGUUCUCAUGGGGUAAGAGCUGUCAGGAGAAGGUGAAGCCGUUUACUGGAAGCCCUUAUAGGAACCAUGGUCUGGGGGUUGACCGGUGCUGUCUCCUUGCUGACAGAGCCUAGAAAGAACUGUGUGGAAAGCAGACCUGGGAAGGGGGCCUAGAGGGGAGCUAUCAAAGGAGCCUGGGGAAGCGGUUGUACUGGCAGGUGCCAGGAGAGAAGCCAUGGUUAGUAACAGGCACUGUAGGAAGUAGCCAAAGGAGAGAAUAAAGCUUGGGUAAUCCUGGUUUAGAGUAGACUGCUGCCCACAAUUUAGGGUACCGGUCCCUUUAGUGCAAUGAGGGAGGUGCUGUGGAAACACCUGGACUGAGGGGGGAAAGGCCUGUUGCAGUUGGGGGAAUGCUGAAGAAUUAUUUGUUUUGCCUCCAAGGGGGAGGGCAAAAUGCCAACAAGCUCUCCUUUCUAGCAGGACAGCGGAUGCAAACUGAAGGAAAAUGGAGGUUGUGGGUGCUCUCUGACACUGGACAACCCUGGUGCUGCUGUUACAGCUGCCUUUCUACCCACCCCUGCCCGCCUGGGGGCACAUAGCAGGCAGAAAGGAAACUGCUCUCGGAAGAAAUUGACGCAUACACUUGAACUCCAGUGCAGAAAAUCACCUAACGGAGUAUUUGAGACUCAAGCCCUGGAUGGAAAGGAGAAGCUGACUGAAAUAGUCCUGUCCCUGUCUGAGACUGGCAUAGAAAACUUCAUCAGCUAAUGUGCUCUGCCUAUGGCAUCCAAUUGAGGGCAAGCUGGCCUUGAGUCUCUUGUCUAUAAAAAUUAAAUGGAUUCUACU